rnacentral:rRNA from 1 species
AUGUCCUACCCGCAUCCCCGCCCAGAGCCGCCACCGCAACCGGUGGCCAGAUCCACCACGGUGCUUCCAGAUCCGCAGUGGCCAAGCAAUGGAGCUCAUCCACAAGUUCGUGCUACUGCUGCAGAAGAACUCAGCAUGCCCUUCAAGUUCGUCCAGAUCCACAGUGCCAAGAGGGACCUGACGGAGGAGGAAGAGGAGAAGGACCACCGGGAGGUCUUCAUGGCUCAGCUCCUUGCCCACAACCGGCGCUGCUCCAACCCUAGUAUAUGGGACAAGACUGUAGAAAAGCUUGUCGAUAUCGUCUUUUUUCUGGAUAUACAAAUCCGGGAUGCAUUCGGUGAAGCUGGUACCGACUUCAUGGAGCAAGGUCAGAACAAAAGGCUAGGUUCAUGUGGUCUGCCACUACAUUAUGCUAACAUCAUCAAUCAAACUGAAAAUAUAGCAAGUAAAUUUGACGACUCACAUGAUGUUUAUCAUGCCUGCUUAAUGCCCGAAUUUCCUUAA